rnacentral:rRNA from 1 species
CGUAAAGCGCAUGCAGGUGGUUUGUUAAGUCAGAUGUGAAAGCCCGGGGCUCAACCUCGGAAUUGCAUUUUGAAAACUGGCAAACUAGAGUACUGUAGAGGGGGUAGAAUUUCAGGUGUAGCGGUGAAAUGCGUAGAGAUCUGAAGGAAUACCGGUGGCGAAGGCGGCCCCCCUGGACAGAUACUGACACUCAGAUGCGAAAGCGUGGGGAGCAAACAGGAUUAGAUACCCUGGUAG